rnacentral:rRNA from 1 species
CGCCUCUUGCUAAUAACUGAGUAUAAGAGGUCCUGCCUGCCCAGUGAUCAUUUUAACGGCCGCGGUAUCAUGACCGUGCAAAGGUAGCGUAAUCACUUGUCUUUUAAUUAGAGACCUGUAUGAAAGGCAAAACGAAAGUUCAACUGUCUCUUUAGUCCAAUCAAUUAAAUUUAUCUCUCCGUGCAGAAGCGGAGAUAAAUAUAUAAGACGAGAAGACCCUAUGGAGCUUUAAACACACUAUUAACUAUGCCCUUGCAACUCAACCCAACAGGCAAAAUAUGAACCGCAUAGACAUAAUACAAGUUUUGGGUUGGGGCGACCACGGAAGAAAAACCAUCCUCCGAGAUAAACAAUUUAGAACAACACUUCAAAAAUUAAAAUAUUUAUUAUAAGUGAUCCACUAAGUGAUCAACGAACCAAGUUACCCUAGGGAUAACAGCGCAAUCCUUUCUAAGAGUCCCUAUCGACGAACGGGUUUACGACCUCGAUGUUGGAUCAGGACACCCAAAUGGUGCAGCCGCUAUUAAUGGUUCGUUUGUUCAACGAUUAAAGUCCU